GGCGUACGGGAGGCAGCAGUAGGGAAUUUUCGGCAAUGGGCGCAAGCCUGACCGAGCAACGCCGCGUGAGUGAAGAAGGCCUUCGGGUUGUAAAGCUCUGUUGUAAGGGAAGAAUGACCAAAUAGGGAAUGAUCUUGGAGUGACGGUACCUUACCAAAAGCCACGGCUAACUACGUGCCAGCAGCCGCGGUAAUACGUAGGUGGCAAGCGUUAUCCGGAAUUAUUGGGCGUAAAGGGUGCGUAGGCGGUUUGAUAAGUCUGAGGUGAAAGUUCGGGGCUCAACUCCGAAUUGCCUUAGAAACUGUCAGACUGAGUGUAGGAGAGGGCAAUGGAAUUCCAUGUGUAGCGGUAAAAUGCGUAGAUAUAUGGAGGAACACCAGUGGCGAAGGCGGUUGCCGGCCUAUAACUGACGCUGAGGCACGAAAGCGUGGGGAGCAAAUAGGAUUAGAUACCCUAGUAGUCCACGCUGUAAACGAUGAUUACUAAGUGUUGGAGCAAUUCAGUGCUGCAGUUAACGCAAUAAGUAAUCCGCCUGGGGAGUAUGCACGCAAGUGUGAAACUCGAAGGAAUUGACGGGG
rnacentral:rRNA from 1 species